rnacentral:misc_RNA from 1 species
GAUGAAGAACGUAGCGAAAUGCGAUACUUGGUGUGAAUUGCAGAAUCCCGUGAACCAUCGAGUCUUUGAACGCAAGUUGCGCCCGAAGCCAUUAGGCCGAGGGCACGCCUGCCUGGGCGUCACACGUCGUUGCCCCCCCAUCUACUCCUUCGGGAUUGCGGGGGGCGGAUGAUGGCCUCUCGUGCGCCUCGUCGCGCGGUUGGCCUAAAUGCCAAGUCCUCGGCGACGCACGCCACGACAAUCGGUGGUUGCGAAACCUCGGUUGCCUGUCGUGUGCGGUCGUCGCGCAUCGAGGGCUCGAAAAAAUUGCCGGGCUUCGGCUCGACUUUCAACGCAACCCCAGGUCAGGCGGGGUUACCCGCUGAAUUUAAGCAUAUCAAUAAGCGGAGGA